AUGGUUCUGAAUUAAGGCCGGCAGCUUUCUGAAGCUGUUCGUUUCAAGGAGCCCAAAGUGAUGUCUUUCUAUGUCUGUCGGUCAUUUCAGAUCAAUUCAUUAGAAAGAACUCCCC
rnacentral:snoRNA from 1 species